rnacentral:lncRNA from 1 species
ACUGUGGAUUUUACUGUUUCAUUGCUGUAUCCCAAAUUCAGACAGAAUUCUCUAACAAGAUCUACAUAAGUAUUUUCUUUUAGGGAGCAGUAAAAUUCCAAACCUUAGUCCUUAAUUUUUUAUCCAAUAGAGAACCCUUCCUUUUCAAAAAAUUUGAAAUCAAUAUUUUUGUCGGGCUCUACCUUCCUAUCGGAGAGGGGAACCUUACUAGGGC